CAGAGACACAGGUGGGAAGAGACUCUAGGGAAAGCUGCUGGGGAUAGGAGUCUGCUGGCUGUUGAAGCACAUGAAUGGCCUCUCCCUCUUAGCUAUUUCCUGUCAAGCCCCCAAAGAAUAACUGAGAGCAAGAAGUAUCCAUACAUGGCUAGCUGUCGAUGCAACAGCUGGGGGAGGGCGUGUACACCGGCUGAACUGAUACCCUGAUGGCCUCUGAAUACACAGCCUGUUUCUCCUGAGCCAUCUACAGGCGAGGGUGUGUCUGAGCAGGGCACAGGGAUGAUUUCUCUAGAACAGUUAACAGCGAAGGAAGGACCAGGUGAGAAUGACCAGAUGAAGCCACCAUAUGCAGAUCCUGCACUAGACGUCUCGAUGCCAAGACCCCUGGCUCUAAGGAACGACGCCUGGACUCUCGUCUUCGUUCUAACCGGUUCCCGGAUGCCUGAGGGGACACAUGCACCAGACCACGAGCCUCAGUCAAAACUCCAGACCCUGAGCAAAGAGGAGACUUCCUCCUCUCCUGAGUCUCCCAGACACUCUGUCCACACCUGCACUCUCUAUACCUUCAAUAAACUCUGC